rnacentral:rRNA from 1 species
UCAUAUGCUUGUCUCAAAGAUUAAGCCAUGCAUGUCUAAGUAUAAGCAAUUAUACCGUGAAACUGCGAAUGGCUCAUUAAAUCAGUUAUCGUUUAUUUGAUAGUACCUUACUACUUGGAUAACCGUGGUAAUUCUAGAGCUAAUACAUGCUGAAAACCCCAACUUCGGGAGGGGUGUAUUUAUUAGAUAAAAAACCAACGCCCUUCGGGGCUUCUUGGUGAUUCAUGAUAACUUCACGGAUCGCAUGGCCUUGCGCCGGCGACGGUUCAUUCAAAUUUCUGCCCUAUCAACUUUCGAUGGUAAGGUAUUGGCUUACCAUGGUUUCAACGGGUAACGGGGAAUUAGGGUUCGAUUCCGGAGAGGGAGCCUGAGAAACGGCUACCACAUCCAAGGAAGGCAGCAGGCGCGCAAAUUACCCAAUCCCGACACGGGGAGGUAGUGACAAUAAAUACUGAUACAGGGCUCUUUUGGGUCUUGUAAUUGGAAUGAGUACAAUUUAAACCUCUUAACGAGGAACAAUUGGAGGGCAAGUCUGGUGCCAGCAGCCGCGGUAAUUCCAGCUCCAAUAGCGUAUAUUAAAGUUGUUGCAGUUAAAAAGCUCGUAGUUGAAACUUGGGCCUGGCUGGCAGGUCCGCCUCACCGCGUGUACUUGUCCGGCCGGGCCUUUCCUUCUGGAGAACCUCAUGCCCUUCACUGGGUGUGCUGGGGAACCAGGACUUUUACUUUGAAAAAAUUAGAGUGUUCAAAGCAGGCCUUUGCUCGAAUACGUUAGCAUGGAAUAAUAGAAUAGGACGUGCGGUCCUAUUUUGUUGGUUUCUAGGACCGCCGUAAUGAUUAAUAGGGACAGUCGGGGGCAUCAGUAUUCAAUUGUCAGAGGUGAAAUUCUUGGAUUUAUUGAAGACUAACUACUGCGAAAGCAUUUGCCAAGGAUGUUUUCAUUAAUCAGUGAACGAAAGUUAGGGGAUCGAAGACGAUCAGAUACCGUCGUAGUCUUAACCGUAAACUAUGCCGACUAGGGAUCGGGCGAUGUUCUUUUUCUGACUCGCUCGGCACCUUACGAGAAAUCAAAGUU